GACGAACGCUGGCGGCGUGCCUAAUACAUGCAAGUCGAACGCAUUUUCUUUCACCGUAGCUUGCUACACCGAAAGAAAAUGAGUGGCGAACGGGUGAGUAACACGUGGGUAACCUGCCCAUCAGCGGGGGAUAACACUUGGAAACAGGUGCUAAUACCGCAUAAUUCCAUUUACUGCAUGGUAGAUGGAUGAAAGGCGCUUUUGCGUCACUGAUGGAUGGACCCGCGGUGCAUUAGCUAGUUGGUGGGGUAACGGCCUACCAAGGCUGCGAUGCAUAGCCGACCUGAGAGGGUGAUCGGCCACACUGGGACUGAGACACGGCCCAGACUCCUACGGGAGGCGGCAGUAGGGAAUCUUCGGCAAUGGACGCAAGUCUGACCGAGCAACGCCGCGUGAGUGAAGAAGGUUUUCGGAUCGUAAAACUCUGUUGUUAGAAAAGAACAAGGAUGAGAGUGGAAAGUUCAUCCCUUGACGGUAUCUAACCAGAAAGCCACGGCUAACUACGUG
rnacentral:rRNA from 1 species